GAUGAACGCUGGCGGCGUGCCUAAUACAUGCAAGUCGAGCGAAUGGAUUAAGAGCUUGCUCUUAUGAAGUUAGCGGCGGACGGGUGAGUAACACGUGGGUAACCUGCCCAUAAGACUAGGAUAACUCCGGGAAACCGGGGCGAAUACCGGAUAACAUUUUGAACCGCAUGGUUCGAAAUUGAAAGGCGGCUUCGGCUGUCUCUUAUUGAUGGACCCGCGUCGCAUUAGCUAGUUGGUGAGGUAACGGCUCACCAAGGCAACGAUGCGUAGCCGACCUGAGAGGGUUAUCGGACACACUGGGACUGAGACACGGCCCAGACUCCUACGGGAGGCAGCAGUAGGGAAUCUUCCGCAAUGGACGAAAGUCUGACGGAGCAACGCCGCGUGAGUGAUGAAGGCUUUCGGGUCGUAAAACUCUGUUGUUAGGGAAGAACAAGUGCUAGUUGAAUAAGCUGGCACCUUGACGGUACCUAACCAGAAAGCCACGGCUAACUACGUGCCAGCCGCCGCAGUAA
rnacentral:rRNA from 1 species